rnacentral:tRNA from 1 species
CAGUAAGUAGUUUAAUUAAAACAUAGGCUUUGGAAGCUUAAAAUAAGUUUUUUACUUUUUACUGA